rnacentral:rRNA from 1 species
GGGGGGGACCAUCAGGGAUUGCCCCAGUACGGCGACUGAAGCGGCAAAAGCUCAAAUUUGAAAUCCUGCGGGAAUUGUAAUUUGAAGGUUUCGUGGUCUGAGUCGGCCGCGCCCAAGUCCAUUGGAACAUGGCGCCUGGGAGGGUGAGAGCCCCGUAUGGCGCACGCCGACUCUUUGCACCGCGGCUCCGACGAGUCGAGUUGUUUGGGAAUGCAACUCUAAGGGGGA